CUGACUAGGGGCGCAGCAGUGGGGGAUAUUGCACAAUGGGGGGAACCCUGAUGCAGCGACGCCGCGUGAGCGAUGAAGUAUUUCGGUAUGUAAAGCUCUAUCAGCAGGGAAGAAAAUGACGGUACCUGACUAAGAAGCCCCGGCUAACUACGUGCCAGCAGCCGCGGUAAUACGUAGGGGGCAAGCGUUAUCCGGAUUUACUGGGUGUAAAGGGAGCGUAGACGGCAGUGCAAGUCUGAAGUGAAAGGCAAGGGCUCAACCCUUGGACUGCUUUGGAAACUGUGCUGCUGGAGUGUCGGAGAGGG
rnacentral:rRNA from 1 species